AUGUCCCCAGGACUUGGUGGCCUUUGUGCUGCCAGGGCACUGGUGACUCCUGUCCAACCUGCCCUCACCAGAACUGCCAGGGCUCUUCCCAUGGUGCUGCUGUCCAGCUCCCAUUUCCAGUGUGUCCCUGCACCCAGCUUUGCUCCAGGGGGAUUUGAGAAGGCCCUGUGUGUUCACUCCAGGGCCCUGUGUGUUCACUCCAGCCUCCAGGACCCUGUGUGUUCACUCCAGGGCCCUGUGUGUUCACUCCAGGACCCUGUGUGUUCACUCCAGGGCCCCGUGUGUUCACUCCAGGGCCCUGUGUGUUCACUCCAGGGCCCUGUGUGUUCACUCCAGCCCCCAGGGCCCUGUGUGUUCACUCCAGGGCCCCGUGUGUUCACUCCAGGGCCCUGUGUGUUCACUCCAGGGCCCUGUGUGUUCACUCCAGCCCCGUGUGUUCACUCCAGGGCCCCGUGUGUUCACUCCAGGACCCUGUGUGUUCACUCCAGGGCCCCGUGUGUUCACUCCAGGGCCCAGGGCAUGGCUGGCAGCAGUGGUGCAGCAGGAGAGCUCCUGAUCCCAUCCCUGCUCCUGACACCCAGCUCCAGCCCCCCCAGCUGCUGCUCCCCUCAGACAAAGGGGGUGCCAGACUGCCAUAGGAACCUCUCCCCACCUGAACCCACAAUGUCAUCAGAGUUCUUUUCUUUUUUGUUUUUAACCCUCCAGGCUGCUCCCUUGGCUCCCGGUUGUUCCCAGGCCCUGCCCAUAUUGCUCCCAGAGCCGCUGUACGAGAGCUUUAUCGAGUGCCACAGGCUGAGGGGCUUUGGCAGCUCUCCACACAGCCGGGAGGAACAGGAGACAAGGAGAGAACAGAGCCCAGGCUCUCCCCACGGAUCUGCUUCCCUGGCCUUCCCUGGGUUGUUUUCAAAGAGGAUCCGGUGGGAGGUGUGGAAAGGGACUGGCACUUCUUGGCUGGGGCUGCUCUGGAAAGGGAGGCAGUGCCAGAGCAGGAACACUCAAACUCCUCUCAUGUCCUGGGCAGAGCGGCAGGCAGAAUUCGGGAAUCUGGGAGGCAGCUGCCUUCACUCUUGUAGGCAAAAGCAGUGA
rnacentral:lncRNA from 1 species